CACACUUAGCCACUGUCCAGAGCUUCUCUCAUCGACCUCCUGCUCUUCCCUCACUCCCUCACUUCCGUCCAACCACCGCCUGCUACCGUCGCCGUCGCCGUCGCAACUUCCAACUUCGAACAGCCACCGUCGCAAACUUCCAACUUCGAACAGCCACCGCUUGCUCCCUCACUUCCCUUCCAUCGCGCAGCAAACGUCGCAAACUUUCUUCCUUCCAUCGCGCAACCCUCCCCCCUUCUUCCCCCAAUCAUUCGUGUACUCCCUCGAGACCUCUGAAGAAAAGAAAAACCCUAGCCCUUCAUCGCCGCCGCCGUCCCCAGGUCCUCAGUGCUGCCGCUGCUUCCUCUUCCCCGUGUCGUUUUCAUCUUCCUCUUCCCCAGGUAGCUCGGCACGUCGUUUUCAUCUUUGCUGGCUUCUUGGCACAGAUCCCAGAACAUGGCUGGAAGAGCUCAGAUCACAGCUGCGCCAUUAGCCUCCCCUCCGCCUCUUCUCCUCCUCGUCACUAGCGCCGUCCUCGUCACUGUACUAGCGUCGUCCUCCUCGCCGAUCUCCUCUGCAUUGUCUCCAUUACGCGCCAGUGUCGUCUUCUCUGCUCUCCUUCCCUGUCGUUUCGCCUUCCUUGUCAUCUCCUUCCAUCUUCCCUGCUCUGGCCACCAUGCCCUAACCCUCACUGUUGCCUUCCUUGUCCGCGCUGCUACAUCCCUCCACCGCGCCUCCACCGCACCUCCGCCUCGCAUCUGCUACAUCCUUCGUUCGUGUUUGCCUCGCCGUUUCUGCUUUGCUUGAUUUUCCCUGCUGGUGCGUUCGUCUCUGCCAUUCCCUACUCCUUCCGUGCUGGUUUAUGUUGUGAAGGCAUAAGGAGGAAGCAACUAAUGGUAAUAAGUGAGCAUGAGCAUGUGUUAUUGCUGGUUGUUGACUAAGGGUUGUUCUUAUUCAGGUGGCUUCCUAACGUGCCAUUCCUUCCGGUCCACGAGAGUUUGGGUUUGAGAGCCUCUAGGUGUGGCAAGCGUACGGCGAGCAAGUAUGGCAGCUGGCUGAGGUUGGAGAGACCAUGGCAGGGCAGGCAACUCUGACGAGGAAGAUUUUUUUCUAGCCUUGGUUGCAGCACACUUCUUUUGCCUGUUUUAGGAGGGAUUUUUGAGGCAGAAGAUAUCAGGUCAAGGGCUUGCAUCAUACUUGCUGGUGGAUCUGGUACAAUUCUUCCCUGUUAGUCUGUUACAAUGCUUAAAAUGCUACUUAUGGAAGAAAUAAAAUCAAUUGCAACUGUUUCUUCCCUUUCCAAUUUAUCUUCGAACUUUUGUCUUCCAAUUUAUAUAUCAUAAAUUGUUAGGAGUCGAUCACCCUCUUUUUGUGUCCUCCCUAUUUAUAUUUAUAAAUUGAUUUUUCAUUGUUAAAUACUUAAUUUGUGAUUACUGGUUGGAUAUAACUUUUUCCAUUUAAUUUUCUUUAUUUUUAUAUUAAAAUUGAUAUCUCAGGAAAAUGAACAUGAUUAAACUAACAUUAGGUCCCUAGUGAGUCUUAACGUCUGAGAUUUUUAUUGGUUUACGUAGUCAUGCAAAUAAUUUUAAAUGAUGAGGUAUAUAUGACUUAAAAGCCAAUUUUUUAUAAAAUAUUAAACAGGAGCUGAGUGAGCAUUUUAAUUAUGAUAGUAUUUUGUAUUUCAUGACCUAAUUGAUUUCAUCCUACAUAUUAAAAAAAAGUAUUUUAAUUUAAUAAAAUAAAAAAAUUAAAACCAAUAUGCUCAAUAGUUUCUCUGACAAGUUCCCUUUAAGAGUUAUUUCACUAUUUUGGUAACAAGAUUUUUUUUAGAUAGCAAGUGUUUUAUUUAGGAAUAAAGAUUUUGACACUCUUUUUAGAUAGGAAUAAUUACUAUAAGAUUACUUUAUUGCUUAUCUUGGUUAUCCUUGGGUUUUGUUUAUUGUUAGUUGUACAGAAAAAUCUUGAGAGCGAUGAAGUUUUAGCAGUUGAUGUUUCAUGCAUUGUUGCUGUCUUAGUUUGAUUAAGCAUUUCUCUUCUGCUUUGUAAAUAUGAUUAAUUUCACCCCAACCUCAGGUUUUGCUGGUAUUGAGCUUCUUCUGUAUUUACAUCUGUUGUUUUAGUCUGCCUAUAGAAGUUGGUUAGCUGAUAUAAUUCGAAUUCUGGAUUUUUGUGCAAAUGUGAAUCAUAUAUAAUUUGUGUUAUGACCAUUCUUCUUUUACCUCUUUUCAGUGGGAUAAGAACAUGUAUGAUCAAUGUUUAAUGCUUUUAUUUUGCUUUUUCACUUGAUUGCAUGAUAUAUAAUUCAGUACAUUCAUUUAUCAGUUGUGUCAAUUUAGAACUGAGUUGUAACACUUCGUUGCUGCAUAGUUAAAAGAUACAAAUUUGACAAUGUUAUUUAAGCGUGGCGAUAGCUCAAAAAGUGUGGCCAAAAGCUAUCGCCAUGCUUUUUUCAGCUUUUCGCCACGCUUUAAAAGCAUGGCAAUAGAGCUGUUUUCUUGUACUCCCACAUCAUCUGAGCUUCUUCGGAUGGUAAUGGAGCUACAACAAGCUAAUCAGCGUAUGACUAAAGAUAACCAACGAAUGGUAAACCAGAUAGCUAAGUUAACUAAUGUUCAGAUUGCUUAUAAUGAUGAUCAUAAUGAAUGACAAGAUGACGAGGAAGAAAACUCUGAUCCAACACAUAUCUCUGAAACUCAACACCUUUAGGGAGACCAACAACAAAACGAUGACGAUGACAGAUUGGACAACGCUAUUGGACCAUUCACAGCCGACGUCAUAAAUUUCAAACUGCCUAGGAACUUCGCAUUACCAAUCACCUUGACUCCCUACGAUGGCAUGGGAGAUCCGAAAAAACACGUUAAGAAAUUCCGAUCUAUAUGAUGAUAGUGAAUGGUGCUUCUAAUCCUAUUUUAUGUCGUUGUUUUCUUACCUUUUCAGAUGGUCCUACACUUGGUUGGUUUUCAUCUUUGCCUGCAGGUUCAAUUUCACGCUUUCAGGAGCUCGCUAAACAAUUUGAAGAUCAGUUUGCUGCAUCUUCCAUCUAUCUACAUGAUUUCGACUAUCUGAACACUAUCAAGCAAGGACAGCACGAAAGUUUAAGGGAAUAUGUGACCCACUUCAUUAAAGUAGCGAUGAGGAUCCCAAACCUUCACCCUGAGGUACACUUGCAUGCUAUAAAGAAUGGACUCCGCCCCGAAAAGUUCCAAGAGGCCAUCACAGUGGUCAAACCCAAAACCUUGGCCGAGGGGUCAAAUGGAGAUUGAAGAGUUGCGCCAAGCUCGAAAAUCCGAAAAGAAUCAAACCAAUAAGGAUGACGAUAAAGCUCCAAAAAAUAAGAAACGAACUUUCCGAUUGACACUGUGUUACGAUUCUUAUACCCAGUUCAACACCACAAGGGAGGAAAUCAUCAAGACAAUACUGAAUUCGAAACUAAUCAAACCUCUACAGAAGGCCGGAACCUACCAAGAUAUGAAGAAUGUAGACAAGACAAAGUACUGUGCUUUUCAUCAGAAACACUGGCACAAUACUGAUGAGUGUGUUGUAGUCAAAGGACAUCUGAAUAAAUACAUCGGCCUUCCUAUCCUUAAAAGCAAAACGCUUCUUCUUAGGGGGCUGGUUGAUUCACCUCUUCCUCUCCAUCCAUAUUUUUUUGGGAUUAGAAGAUGACCCCUCUUUCUCUAAAUUCUUAGCCUUUAGAUGAGCUCUUAAGCUCGUCGCUGAUGCACCUGGAUACUUUCCACCUAUAAAAUAAUUCAACAAUUUACAAAUAUAGCCAACUUUGACAUCUUCAAAAAACAACAUAUCAACUCUCACUGAGAUAGUUCACCAUAGAUGUUCUAUCUUCUGACCAUGAAAGCAAAUCAAAUACAGAUAUUAAGUUUUCUCUAUGAACAACCUCUACCAAAUACCCUAUUAUACACUCAUUCUGAGGAGUGAUCUCUUUUUGACCCAAUAUAUAUUAUGGCUGCAAACACCAAAACAGGAAAAACUUCUCACAUGAAUGCUCGUCUAAAUAGAAGAGAAAAUCCUCGUCAACUGACUUUACUUUCAGAAACAUUUUCUUGAAAUCUUUGAAAGACGACUUAUAGAGUUUGAAAAUCGAAAAACCAGGAGCACUAUUCAGAUUCACCCAAACCCCUUCCAAAUCCCUUUAGCUUGAAAUAAAGAGAAAAAUAACUCAAGAGAAGGUUUUAUUUUCAAAAACUCCAUUAGAAUUUCAAAACAUCUUAGAAAAACCCAACAAUUCGGAUGGAGUUGAGACGGGACACAAUUUAGUUGUUUCAAAACAUCAUAUUCGAAACCAGUAAAAAGUAGUUUCACAUAAAAUUCUUCAAGAACAUAGCUAUGCAUGUAAAAAUAUUCAAAAUCCAUUUUUCUAUGAAAAACACUAUCAGUCCUAGUGUAUGGAAGCAACUUAACCCUCACCCCAGAACCUUUCCUAACUAUUUUUGAAACAUCAAUCUCAGCCACACUACUCGUGUCCACAAAAAGAGAACCUCGAAUUUUAACAUGCUGACUAACCCAAUCGUAAGAACCAUCAUUACCAUCUUUCAGUGUUUCCUUUCCCUUUUUCUCACCCAUGAUUUUUUUCAAAGAAAACUGGAAAACAAGAAAAAGGCGAAGGAAUCAGAAUCAAAAAUGGAAGAGAAACUAACCUCUUUUACGCAUGUUUUACUUUUGCCAAACGUCUUUAAUCAAACUGAAGUUCCUUUAAAGAAGACCUUCAGGAAUCUAAAUACAUAUGCAAAUCGGUUCAGUUCCAUCUCUUUAAUCACAACCGUUGUUUCUAUCAAAAUCAACGGUACUCACUCACCUUAGAAACUGGAGCGCCAAUGACUACCCAUUUAAUGAUAAGACCACUUUUAUUUUCAUUUUUUUUUUCAAGAAAAACUUACAUUUCUCCAUUUAAUUCUUCCAAUCUUUAUAUUUUCUGAUAUUUAUUUUGAUCAAAAAAGUUGAGUUGGGGGCUUCAUAUAUCAAAAUACCAAGCUAUAACUAAUCAAUAAAAACUCAACCUAUUUCAUCAAAAUAUCACUAGGCCAAACUUGGGGGCUAUGAUGCCGCCGUUAUAGCUCGACUAUACGUCAUGACUCAUCUAUAUACAUUAUAAGUCGGUUAUCAAAUACAUUCAUGAAAGCAAAUACCAAAAUGCUCAAAUAUGCU